rnacentral:rRNA from 1 species
AACCUGGGGGCAACUCUGGGGGAAAGUGGCGAAAGGGGCAGUAAUGCGUGGGUAACGUACCCCCUGGACCGGGAAAGCCACGGGAAACUGUGGGUAAUACCGGGCGACGCAGCGGAGGCGCAUGUCUCUGCUGCCAAAGGUCCGCCGCCGGGGGAGCGGCUCACGUGGUAUUAGCUUGUUGGUGAGGUAAUGGCUCACCAAGGCCGAGAUGCCUAGCUGGUGUGAGAGCACGACCAGCGCCACUGGCACUGAGACACUGGCCAGACUCCUACGGGAGGCUGCAGUCGAGGAUUUUCGGCAAUGGGCGCAAGCCUGACCGAGCGACGCCGCGUGUGCGAUGAAGGCCUUCGGGUUGUAAAGCACUGUCGAAGGGGAGGAAGCCGAAAGGUUGACCUAUCCUUGGAGGAAGCACGGGCUAAGUUCGUGCCAGCAGCCGCGGUAAGACGAACCGUGCUAACGUUGUUCGGAUUCACUGGGCUUAAAGGGCGCGUAGGCGGACGAUCAAGUCCAGGGUGAAAUACUCCAGCUUAACUGGAGAACUGCCCCGGAUACUGGUCGCCUUGAGGGAGGUAGGGGCAUGUGGAACUUCCGGUGGAGCGGUGAAAUGUGUUGAUAUCGGAAGGAACGCCGGUGGCGAAAGCGACGUGCUGGGCCUCUUCUGACGCUGAGGCGCGAAAGCUAGGGUAGCGAACGGGAUUAGACACCCCGGUAGUCCUAGCCCUAAACGAUGGGUACUAGGUUGUAGACUUGACAUGGGUUUACAGCCGAAGCAAAAGUGCUAAGUACCCCGCCUGGGGAGUAUGGUCGCAAGGCUG